rnacentral:rRNA from 1 species
AUUGAACGCUGGCGGCAGGCUUAACACAUGCAAGUCGAGCGAGAGGCGGAGGGGGGAGUAAUGUCUGGGAAACUGCCAGAGGGAGGGGGAGAACUACUGGAAACGGUAGAAAAUACCGCAUACCAUCAGAUGGGCCCAGAUGGGAUUAGCUAGUGGGGGGGAAAAUGGCUCACCUAGGCGACGAUCCCUAGCUGGUCUGAGAGGAUGACCAGCCACACUGGAACUGAGACACGGUCCAGACUCCUACGGGAGGCAGCAGUGGGGAAUAUUGCACAAUGGGCGCAAGCCUGAUGCAGCCAUGCCGCGUGUGUGAAGAAGGCCUUCGGGUUGUAAAGCACUUUCAGCGAGGAGGCGUUACUCGCAGAAGAAGCACCGGCUAACUCCGUGCCAGCCGCCGCGGUAAUAC